AACGAAGACACACGUGAUGCUCGUGUUUGAGAAAACCGUGUGACUUCAGCGAUGUUGUUUACACGCAUUAACAGACUUGCAGAGAGAAGCUCCUCAAGAAAAUGGCUGCAGAAAUGGAAAGAUUCACUUCAUUCGAAGAGGCGCAUUACGACCAAUAUGAUUAUUAUAACCUGGAGGAUUAUUCCUCUCACGCUGGAGGGAAAGGCAGGAGUAAGAAGGAGAUCUGCCUGAACACGAAUCGCCAUUCUCCAGCGGGACACGAGCGCAAAAUCGCUGGAAAACUGCAGAACAGCGAGCUGAAACGCCGGAGAACCAAGAGCUGCUCCUCCUGAGGACAUUCCCGGAGAAUCCGACUGCUCGUACUGGAGAUGGACGAAAGAAACCGGAUUGUGGUCCAAGAAAUGUCUGUUUUGCCUUUUUCCACUCGAUGUUGAUGUCGAGGACUCGCAAUGUCGUUCAUGCGCAUGCGCAACUGUGUCACAUUCUGCAGCCGCCGUCACGCGACCUGCUGCAGCAGUGUGUAUGAGAGAGUGAGAGUGUGUCUGUGUGUGUGUGUCUGUGUGUCAUGUCUUAUAAACGUUUGUUGACUUUUAUAACUAUUAAAACGUGUUCAGCUGAAGGAAACUAUUCUGAGAGUAGAGAAUAUGUAAACUUGUGUAAUGGAAGAUAAAUUAUUAUAAUAAAGACAUUUUGCAUUCAUG